AUGGAACAUACUACUUCCAAAAACAUGAUUUGAUUGUCACUAACUUUAAAAUUGAAGGGGAUCUACUACAACUGCUCAUGAAUUUUGAGAUUGUACAGCAAAUAGAGGAACACAUUUUAUCUGCUUCCACUUAGACAAACAGCAUGGAAAUGUGCUAUUGUAAUGAGUAGAAGAUCUUUGUCAUUUAGAGUAUCAUGUGUCAUUGACUUAUGAAAACAAAAUGCAACAGCAAAUUAUCAGUCCACACAUUUCAAGAUGAGGAAAAGAACA
rnacentral:sRNA from 1 species